CGGGGUGUAGCUCAGUGUGGCUAGAGCAUCUGCUUCGGGAGCAGAAGGCCGCAGGUUCAAGUCCUGCUACUCCGA
rnacentral:tRNA from 1 species